rnacentral:lncRNA from 14 species
GGAAUGGGAUGGGGGGGCUGAUAAUCUCGGAUCCUCAAUGAAGGAGUGGAACUUGAUUUCCCAAGAAAAGAAAAAAAAAUAGCUGGCUCAUCACUGCAACAAGCUGACCGCCCUCAGGACCCUGGUCUUUCACCCUUUUCUAACUUGCUCUCACUCUCCCUGCAGGGAAAAAGCCAAUCUUCUCAAGAAUCCCACUUCUUCCCAGAGACUCUGGCCACAUUCAGACACAGUUCCUGAGAGACCUGAGCAGGAGGGCCCAGUUUCUCAGAACUGUUCGUAGAGGCUCAGCUCAGAGAGCUGGGCUACCUCUCUCCUCGAAAGACCACCAGACAUUGGACAGCAUCUGUCAUCAGCAAGAACUGAAGAGGAGUUUGGCACCCAGGCAGCGUGGGACAGGGUCCAGAGACAGCAAAAGGUGGUCUGCUACUAUCAGAGCCCUCUGAAAGGUACCCAUUGGUCACUCCAAACACUACCCAAUGAGAAAUAGAAGAAACACUGAAGAAAUCAUUGUUCCUAGACAUACCUAGCAUCUGUUUCAGCCAAAAUCAUCGAGAGAUCACUGAAGAGAAAAGAUGGAUGAAGAGCAACAUCGAGAGAGUUCAAAAUCACCUCAAAAAAAACUGAAGACAGUUGAAUUCAAGAAAAAGAAACGUGUCAGAUUUCUGUUACCCUGCAAAUCUGACAAGAAAAAGAAACUCUCUUUCCCAGGAGAUACAGAUGAGGCAGUGUUCAGAUGUGACUGCCACUACUGCCAGAAGUGCGUGGGGAACACAUCCAGGGUCUCUGUGGGAACUGGAACAGAAGCAGUUUCUCA